rnacentral:lncRNA from 1 species
GUAGAAGUGAACCGAUUUCCUUUUUGAGCUUCCAAAGCCCCAGAUAACCUUCAGACAAUUCAUAGAGAAAACCUAAAAAAGUAGAUAAUAUAUUAACUUCCCUACCGAUAUCUACAGUGUCAACAUUUGACUGGAAAAAUGAAUUCGUUGUAUCAGUGUUUGCACCUCAAGUUUGUAGGGCAACUCUUACAGAUUGUAUAACAAGAGCUAGCCCAUCUCUGCUUAUGUCUCAUGAGUACACAUUUAACCUUCCUCACGGCCUGGACAAGGUCAACCACUUUUCAGGGCAGUCAAUCUCAAAGUUCUUUGACCAGAGGAGUUUUUGUCCUGAAGCCACCGUUCCCGCCUCUGUUCCCACAGGACUAGUUCUACAUCAAUGAAGGCCAUCAGCAUGUACGUCCUUCUCCAUAAAACCAUGCAGCCUAACUUGGAAGCUGCUACAGCUUGCAUCCUGGCCUGCAGCCUUGCCUUCCCAGGGCCAAACUCUGUUCUUCCGCGACCCAGAGAUUUGGGUGCUUUGAGAACUGGGAGUUUCAGUCUCUGGGAUCUGGCCUCUGUGCAGACAUAAGGAUGUUGAAAGGAAUGAUGGCAUCCACCAAUCCAACCUCCCACUGGCACAGUCACCUAAAGGCUUGUGAAAAUCUCCAUUGCAUCAACCCCAGUAUCAAAGCCUCAGUGUGCCUCACUUUGCUAGGAGCGAUGCCACAUCUCCCAUUCCUGGAUAGAGGGAGGGCUCCAGGAGAACUGAAGUGUGUGAGUCCCUGUGGCCUGGAAGGAGAGGAGAGAAACCAGGGGCAUAGUCUGGGGCCAUAGUGCCAAGGACUGAGUAUCCUGGGGCUUCCAGCUGCAGGAACGGUGCCUGAGGAUGGAAGCUGGAGGCCAGGACCAGGUGGACAGCUCCUAAUCAGGUAGCCAGCAAACAACAAAUUGGGGAUGCUACGUUAGAACUAGGAAGAAAAGACGAUGCUACGUUAGAACUAAGAAGAAAAGACGAUGCUACGUUAGAACUAGGGAGAAAAGACGAUGCUACGUUAGAACUAGGGAGAAAAGACGAUGCUACGUUAGAACUAGGAAGAAAAGACAGUUCAAGCAGGACAUCAGUAAGCUGUAAGUCAGCUAAGGGAGAAGAGGAAAAAGCAGGUUGAAAAUGGACAGUGGAUGGUGUAGGGCCUGGAUCUUUUCUUGCACCGCAGUGAAAGUGGUUGUGGAAACGUUUUACACAGUUCCUGAGGCAUUUAAAGGGGAAAUGCCAGCCAGAGUGGACCCAGAGUGCAUGAGUUGGGCAAAGAUUUGCUUUUUAUUUCUUUUUUUUAUUUUCCAAAGAAGAGAUCUCCAUUUAGAGCCCCAGUCCCACUCUGUCAGGACAUCCUGAAUCUCAGUCCCCAGGUCCACAAAAGACCUCCCGUCCCCCCAACAGCUGUGCAUUGACCUCACUGACUACACACAGCCCCAAGCCCAUGUCGAGUCAAAACCACCAUCCCUCAGCCUGUGGGCCAGGUACCGGGUUCAGUGCACUCAGUGACGCAAGAGCCCUGGGCAGCUGUCCUGGAGCCACUGGCCAAGCCCAUGGAAACAGCCCUCCUUGUCACUCACCCGCUGUCACUCCAGGGAGCUGGGGAGUCUGCACCCUGGCAGCAGGGAAAGGGGUCUGAUGUUCCAUGUUUUUUAAUGAACGUUUUUGUUCUAUGUAUUUAUUUUUAUAUUUAUUUAUUUACAUAUUUAUGUAUUUAUUUAUUUUUUAAGAGAUGGUAUCUCGCUCUGUUGCCCACGCUGGAGUUGUGUGAUGCUGUCUCGGCUCACUGCAACUUCCACCUCUCAGAUUCAAGAGAUUCUCCUGCUUCAGCUUCCCAAGUAGCUGGGACUAUAGGUAUGCACCUCUACGCCCAGCUAAUUUUUAUAUUUUAGUAAAGACAGCGUUUCACUAUAUGUUGGUCAGGGUGGUCUCAAACUCCUGACCUCAGGUGAUCCAGGUGAUCCAACUGCCUUGGCCUCCCAAAGUGCUGGGAUUACAGGCAUGAGCCACUGCACCCAGCCUAUUUAUUUUUAAUUAAUAGACUUUUUAAAGCAGUUUUAGGUUUACAGAAUAGUUUAUUGGAAAAUCCAAAAACUCCCAUAGAUCCCCUUACCCUCCCUACACAUCUUCCUUAUUUUUAACAUCUUGCCUAAAUGUGGUAUGUUUGUUACAAUUGAUGAGCCAAGAGUGAGACAUCAUUUCACUAAAUGUACAUACUUUACAUUAGGGGCCACUGUUGGUAUUAUACACUCUAUGGAUUUUGACAAAUAUGUAAUGACAUGUGCCCAUCAUUACAGUAUUAUAUAGAAUAGUUUCACUUCCCUAAAGGUCCUCUGUGCUCCACCAAUGCAUCCCUCCCUCCCCCUGACGCCCACCAGCCCCCGGCACUCAAUGACCUGUCUUCAUAGUUUUCUAGAGUGCCUUAUAGUUGGAAUCAUACAGAAUAUACCCCUUUCAGAUUGGUUUUUUUACUUAGCAAUAUGCAUUUAAGGUUCCUGUAUGUCUUUUCAUGAUUUGAUAGCUCAUUUCUAAAAAACCACUGAACGUUUCAUUGUCCGAAUGUACCACAGUUUGACAGACAACUUGGUUGCUUCCAAGUUUUGGCAAUUAUGAUUAAAGCUGCUAUAGACAGUCACGUGCGGGGUUUUUGCAGACAUAAGUUUUCAAUUCAUUUGGGUAAAUACCUAGGAGAACAAUUGCUAGAUUUAUGGUAAGAGUGUGUUUAAUUUUAUUAUUUUAAAAAACUGCCAAGCUGUCUUCAACAGUAGCUGUACCAGUUUGCAUUUCCACCAGAAAUAAACAAGAGUUCCUGUUGCUCCACAU